GGAAACCCAGUGUGAUUCGUCACACUAUCAUUAACUGAAUCCAUAGGUUAAUGAGGCGAACCGGGGGAACUGAAACAUCUAAGUACCCCGAGGAAAAGAAAUCAACCGAGAUUCCCCCAGUAGCGGCGAGCGAACGGGGAGGAGCCCAGAGCCUGAAUCAGCAUGUGUGUUAGUGGAAGCGUCUGGAAAGGCGCGCGAUACAGGGUGACAGCCCCGUACACAAAAGCGCAUGUGCUGUGAGCUCGAUGAGUAGGGCGGGACACGUGGUAUCCUGUCUGAAUAUGGGGGGACCAUCCUCCAAGGCUAAAUACUCCUGACUGACCGAUAGUGAACCAGUACCGUGAGGGAAAGGCGAAAAGAACCCCGGCGAGGGGAGUGAAAAAGAACCUGAAACCGUGUACGUACAAGCAGUGGGAGCACCCUUUGGGUGUGACUGCGUACCUUUU
rnacentral:rRNA from 1 species